CGGGGAGUGGCGCAGUCUGGUAGCGCAACUGUUUUGGGAGCAGUGGGUCGCAGGUUCGAAUCCUGUCUCCCCGA
rnacentral:tRNA from 1 species